UAUGUACUUUAGUUACUACUUAUUAAUUUCAUGAUGGGUCCAUCACUCCAUCCUCAUACUUUAUAGUUCUUGAGCAAAGUCUAUGCUCAAGAACUCCUCAAUAUUUGAGAUGCAUUAAAUUCGAAAUCAUAAUACUGAUGUUGUGGUAGUACAAAAACGGAAAAAAUGGUCCUCCCAUUCGGAAGUUACCAUGUAUAGAUACAGACAGAAUCGAAUUCCAGAAAGAAUUCAUUAUGAAGGUUUAGUGAGUCUACAUGGUGAAGGAUAUUCAAUAUAAAUAUAAAAAUUUGA